CAAACACCUGACGUUGUUUCAACGUUGGAUCUAAGUUGGAUUUAUGUCAUGACGUCAAAAUCCUAAAUACAACGUUGACACAACGUUGUAUUUGCGACGUCGUAUCAACGUGUUGGAAUUACGUUGAUACAACGUCGGAUUUGAGUGUAAUCCAACAUAGUAGUCUUGAUUGUGUUACUUCCCUUUGUUCUGAUUUAUAAACCCGAUAGGUGGCUCUAAUUUCAGGUCAAUAUAUUAAUUAUUCGAAUUUUGUUAUUCAUUUUUUUACAUCCAUUGUAUUUUUGUUUAAAAAAUGUUGUUUUACUAGACCAUAAAAAGGAACAAUAUUAGUAUUUCAAUUAAAUUAAUUGAAAAAAAAUAAUGGAAACUUGAUGAAUUUCAAAACGAGGCUACAACAACAAUUUGUUUUCAAAUUCAAACAAAGACAAAGGAAGGACAUUAUAUGCUCAUCAUAGAAGACAACUCGCAUAGUGAAAAACUGACACUUAAUUUUUGUGUGAUGACAAUUAGCUGAUCAGAUUGUAUACAUGAACAACAGUCGACAGAAAACACCAUUUGGACAUAAAAGAAUGCCAAGUGCAUCAAAUUAAGUUUCAAGGAAAAAUAAAACAAGUUGAACAUCAAAACAAGUUUGACACAGUGUCUUCGUAGAUGAAAAUAAUCAGGAUCCAGUGGUGGACGUUUAGUAUACCAGAAUUAUUCACAUGGAGGAAAAUAUCUCCAAAUUUAAUACUUUAAAGUUUUUUUUUAAAGAAUAAAGAUAAAAAAGUACUUACUUGCUUUAAAUGUGAACGUUUAUUUAUUGUUUUGUAUGUUACACUUAAUUUUGACAGAAAGGAAUAUUUUCCUUCACUUAUUCGAUUUGUUACCGAUGAAAUCAACUGCAAAAGAAAGCUUUAUUUUCCAUGAUUUCCAUUUUCUAUGAGUUAUUUAAAAGAAAACCCUUUUAAGCAUGUUGUAAACAUGAAUACUUUUAUUGACAUAAAUUGUAAUAGGUAAUGUAUACUGUAGACCUUUAAAUGAAAAUAAUUUGUUGACUGUUUUGUUAUGAUUUUGGAUUACAAAAUGUGUAUAAUUGUAUUGACUGAAAGAGGUCUGAUAAAUGUUGAACUUCAAUUUUGAAAAUACAUGUAACUCUUAUUUCUUUUUGAUUUUAAAAGUUUAUAUACAAUUUAUAAAUAUCAAACUUUAUUUUAUUAUCACUAUAAAUGAUUAAAAGUGAGUCAUUUUUGUGAUGUUAUACAAAUGUGUUGAAAAUAUAUAUUUACUGUAUAUUAAGUUUUACAUGAAUAGAUAAAUCAGAAACUGUGUUAUAUACAUUUUGUUUAAUUGUUUUUAUGAUCACUUUCUUAAAAUAAUAAAAUCACUUUUCCAGUAUAGAAAGUUUUGUAUUUUCUCUUUAUUUGGGAAUUAUUUAAUGAAAACGGGUCAGAUUUAUGUUGGGAAUUGGUUGGAAUUACGUUGGAAACUAGUUGGUAUUACGUAAGUAACUGGUUGGAAUCAUGUUGGAAACUGGUUGGAUUCACGUUGGGAAUAGGUUGGAAAGUAGUUGUAUAUACGUUGAAAAGAGGUUGGAUUUAUGUCAUUUUAUGACGUUGGAUUGACGUCGGACUCUGACGUCUAAAAAACUUUCAUAUACAACUAAAUUCCAACGUCUAUCCAACGUCGGACUCUAACGUCUGAGCAACGUUGAAACAACGUCAUGUGUUUGCUG